rnacentral:rRNA from 1 species
AACCGUGACCAUACCUGUUGGAUAAUGCUCGUCAGAUCACAGCAGCUGAGCAAGGACAGGGCUGGUUAGUACUCGGAUGGGAGACUGCUGGGAAUACGAGGUGCAGCAGUGG